GUAGUUUUUUUCUUUGCUGUUUUUUGUUCAGGUUCAAAUUGGACGUCCUGCAAGCAACAGCAAUGAGGUUGAUAUUUUCUUGUCUUUAAGACCAUGUCACUUUUAGUCAGUUGUGAGGUCGUUUUGUCAAGUCUAACCCUAUCGUAAUGCUUUCAGAUACUGAGACUGAAUGGACUUACUCUUGCAACUCUUGGACAAACACAGGGUUCUUCACUAUUUCCCCAGUAUGUGCCCGAGGUACUGCUCACGCCACAGUUUGUAAACAUGAACCGUCAGCGGCGUAGUCCACAUGGCUCCCAGGAAUCCCAGCUACUUGUUCCCACACAGGGCAACCAGCUGACACUAGUGAUUUUCCCCAACAUUCAGCAGGAGAUACUUGGGCCCCAAUAUUCCAAAUGUCCCUCAGCUGAACCAAAACCCCGUACAGAUAUUUCCGCAUUUCCAAUUCCCAGCUUUCGGGUUUCCUGCAUUCCGCAGACAGCAGGCCCUCCCGUAUUUUGUGGCUCCUUAUGGAUGUCCUCAGCAGAGGACCGCUGUGCUGCAGACCAAUAAGGCACAGCAGAAGCCAGCCACAACCACACAAAGAACAUUUCAGGU